rnacentral:rRNA from 1 species
AUUGAACGCUGGCGGCAGGCCUAACACAUGCGAGUCGAGCGGAUGAAGGGAGCUUGCUCCUGGAUUCAGCGGCGGACGGGUGAGUAAUGCCUAGGAAUCUGCCUGGUAGUGGGGGAUAACGUCCGGAAACGGGCGCUAAUACCGCAUACGUCCUGAGGGAGAAAGUGGGGGAUCUUCGGACCUCACGCUAUCAGAUGAGCCUAGGUCGGAUUAGCUAGUUGGUGGGGUAAAGGCCUACCAAGGCGACGAUCCGUAACUGGUCUGAGAGGAUGAUCAGUCACACUGGAACUGAGACACGGUCCAGACUCCUACGGGAGGCAGCAGUGGGCAAUAUUGGACAAUGGGCGAAAGCCUGAUCCAGCCAUGCCGCGUGUGUGAAGAAGGUCUUCGGAUUGUAAAGCACUUUAAGUUGGGAGGAAGGGCAGUAAGUUAAUACCUUGCUGUUUUGACGUUACCAACAGAAUAAGCACCGGCUAACUUCGUG